GUCUUUUUAGUACAACCAGUACAAGUGACUUCCAAUCACUUAAUCUUAGUCAAAGCCUAGGAAAAGACA
rnacentral:tRNA from 1 species